GGAUACGAUAUAGAUGAUUUCUUCAUAUCUAUAUAUACGAGUUAUAUAUUGUCGAUUUUUGUUAGAAAUAAUAAUUAUUAGUGAUAUCAACAUAUCUGCAAUGACAUAUUUAUACCCUUUUUUAUUCUUCAAGAUAUUAUGACUCAUCAAGUCUUCACGAGCUAUAUUUGCCCAUAUUUCUCCGUGGGCACUAUGUCUUUUAAAUUUUGGGGGAUACGAUUGGGAGAUGAUUCCAUCAUAUCUAUAUGAGUUGUUAAUUUACUUUUUGUUAUAAAUAGUAAUUAUCUGUAAUAUCAACAUAUGUGAAGUGGCCUAUUUACACCAUUUUUCUUUCAUCAAGGUAUUAUGAGUCACCAUGUUUGCAUGAGCUAAUGUUUCCUAAUAUUUUCUUGCG
rnacentral:lncRNA from 1 species